AACCCAGCUUCUCCGUCCAUCCGCCGGACCAGCACCGUCACCUACCAGCGUCGACCCGGCGCGCACCACCUCCGCCCGCCGCCGUCCCAGCAAGCGUCUCCGCCGGAGACCUUUGGAUCUCGACAGCUGCCUUCCCAGCCUCCCGUGACCGCCGCAGCCGGAUCUGGCUCCACGUUCUCCCCUCCUCCAUCUGCUUCACAUGAAGGGGAGCCCACCUCGGAGAGGAAGGAGCGCGGGCGGCGAUAGAAGCGAGCAGCACGCUGCCCAGUGCCGCACCGCGUCGCCCAGGCUUCCUACAUCGUGCCCAAUGACGGGGUUCUGGCCACGUCCUUUGCCGCUGGUUUCUUCCUCGAGCGCGUUGGCCAUGGGAUCCGGCCGGCUCCUUCUUGGCUCCCCUCAUCCUCGUCCUCGAAUCGCGCAGCGACCUGCACCUCACCUAUGAUCCCUCCGUCGAUGAGGGGUUCCCAUACCGACGCCCUCCCAGAGCGCGAUGAAAGAAAACCAUGAAGUUCAUCCCGCACGCCAAGUGCAUCUCUUUCGAAGCUCUCGUGCAGUGCGCAUAUGCGUUGCAGUGCAGUGCGCGACGGCAAGAAAAGGGAGCUUGUCAGCGACGGGGGACGCAUCGGCGGCGUUUGUGCGAGAGGCGUUGUGCAGUUUGCCGGCGUAUUCCCCGGAUGCAUACGAGGGGAGUCAAAUGGGGGCACCGAUGCCCCAUGGAAGAGUAGUAGCAGCGCAUUGCAGGUUCCCGACAGGAGGACCACACCAAGAUGUUUCUGCAGCACACCCACUUGCAGUUCAGUUGGCGGAGGGUUAAGGGCCACCAGGAGGCUGACGGCGAGCCAGCCGCAGUGCUCACUACUGCUCGGUGGCAACGAUUUAUGCAUCAUUGUGGACUUGCAGUUCGCCGGUGAUCCACUAUUUCCUUUUUUGUUUGUCAUUUGAAGUGGUCUCGGCCGAGGACACAGUGCCUUUUCUUUUGCAGUCAUUCACUUGUAUUAGCACAAACUAGGAUUCGCUAACAUGGCCAGUUUUGGUUUAGCUUUGUUUUCGUUUCAGUUACAAAGAAAAUCGCUACCCUGUUAAACAAUUAUUAGGAUAUUUAAAUCUGCAAAGUUGUGCUACCAGUAAAUGUUAUGUACAAAGUGGUUUAGGCAUUUGUGAUGUCAAAAAAAUGAGAUAUAUGUCUGUUAGUUGAUUACAUUGGCACUUUUUUGGUAUAUGUCUGUACAAAGUAGUUCUAAAGAUGGGUUUGAAGAUGCAGCUCGGUAGCUCAUUGCACGCGGUUCCUUUGGCGCGGGCAAGCAGUACACGGCCACACCCGGUGCUUGUGUCUCCGGUAGUUAUCAAGUGUAUUCGGCAACUACGGCAGCAAAAGCUUGGUCUCCGGUAAGCUCCUUGGACAUCUCCCCUGUUUUGUUCCUUGCCUGAAUUACUAUCUUCAGUUUGGUCAGAUUUAAUGCUCACAUACUAUGUUAACGGCAUCAUCCAAAAAAAUUAUGCCUAUGUUUUCUAUAGCUAGACUAGAACCGAUUGCAUCUUGUUGCCGGAAAGAGGUAAUAAUACAAGUUCUUCAAACCGGGUAGUGUUUUCACCUAAGAAGUUGAUGGGAGUGUUCACUAUCUCAUUGCACGCGGUUUUGGCGGUGCGAGCAAGCAGUACACGGUCACUCCUGCAUCAAAGUGGUGCAACUCGGUGCUCAUGUCCGGACAAUUUGCAACAACAAAAGCUUGGUCUCCGGUCUGCUCCUUGGACAUCUCCCCUAUUUCUUUCCUUACCCCAAUUUACCAUCUUUAGUUUUGUCAGAUUUGAUGCUCGCAUACUCUGUUAACGCCAUCGUCCAUCAUUUUGUUGCCUAUAUUCUCUACAGCUAGACUGGCAACAUUGGAACCGAUUGCAUCUUGCUUCCAGAAAGAGGUAAUAUAAGGAGUUCUUUGGACCGUGUAGUGUUGUCAACUGAGAAAGGGAUGGGAGUUUAGACUGAAGAUAAAACGAUUGGUACUUUGCUUAGUCUCACAAGGAUGUGGAACCCAAGCCCAUAUAGAAGUUACGUGCAUGCACUACUUGGCUGCUAGCCACUUGGAUUUGUGGAGUUUCUCAAAAAAAAAAGGACUUGUGGAGCCAUGGGCUGGGCAUGCGAAUGCAUUAAGUAGUUCGUGGGCAAACCACUCUCUUGCACGCUCUUCUUUGAUAAUAUUGUAUUUCCUUUUUUGAGAACUGAUGAUAUUGCAUUGUUGUGAGCACUUACUACAGUUCAUUCCAAACCACUCGGUCCAUGCCACUUGACGAAGGCCCAUAAUUGAAGUUUGUCAAGUUCACUACUCCCAUCCGGGAGGCUCACUACAAGUUCUGUUCUAUUUUGAGGGGAGAUGCAGUGUGCUCGCAUUGUUGUCUUUUUGUUUUCUUUCGACUAGGGGAGAAUGGGACAAUCUCGUCGAAGGACUGUGGGAUUUAUUUUAUUUUGUUUUGUUUCCUCCAGAAUGUGAGGAACAAAAAAACAUUGAAUGCAGUUCGCUCACA